UGAGGAAUAUUGGUCAAUGGUCGCUAGACUGAACCAGCCAAGUAGCGUGCGGGAUGAAGGCCCUCCGGGUCGUAAACCGCUUUUAGACGGGGAUAAAAGGGCGUACGUGUACGCCGUAUCGCAUGUACCGUCAGAAAAAGGACCGGCUAAUUCCGUGCCAGCAGCCGCGGUAAUACGGAAGGUCCGGGCGUUAUCCGGAUUUAUUGGGUUUAAAGGGAGCGUAGGCGGACUUUCAAGUCAGUGGUAAAAUCGUGUGGCUCAACCAUACCUCGCCAUUGAAACUGGAAGUCUGGAGUGCACACAGGGGUGCCGGAAUUCAUGGUGUAGCGGUGAAAUGCUUAGAUAUCAUGAAGAACUCCGAUCGCGAAGGCAAGUGCCCGGGGGUGCAACUGACGCUGAGGCUCGAAGGUGCGGGUAUCGAACAGGAUUAGAUACC
rnacentral:rRNA from 1 species